rnacentral:tRNA from 1 species
UUCAUGGUGGUCCAGUGGCUAGGAUUCUGUAUUCCCAAUGCAGGGGGCCUGGGAUCAAUCCCUGGUCAGGGAA